GUGUCAGCAGCCGCGGUAAUACGAAGGUUGCAAGCGUUGUUCGGAAUCACUGGGCUUAAAGCGUAUGUAGGCGGCCCAUCAAGUGCCUUGUGAAAUCCCACGGCUCAACCGUGGAAUUGCUUGGCAUACUGUUAGGGCUUGAGGCAGGUAGGGGCUCGUGGAACUCUUGGUGGAGCGGUGGAAUGCGUAGAUAUCAAGAGGAACGCCGGUGGCGAAAGCGGCGAGCUGGGCCUGUCCUGACGCUGAGAUACGAAAGCCAGGGGAGCAAACGGGAUUAGAAACCCGCGUAGUCC
rnacentral:rRNA from 1 species